GGCUGGAGGACUAACAAUGCUAGCAAUGGCUGGAGAGAACCUUAAAAUGUUAAUCGUCUGUCACUCACACUCCCUGCCGGGUUUGCAGCAUGUGCCUGUCUGUUUGCUAUGAGUUCCUGAACAGAAUUGCUAACGGACUGAAAAAAAAACCAAACCUUGGGUAUUCUCUCCUCUUUCUGGUACCUCUUGCUGAACAAGGAAGGAAGAAACCUGGGCCCCGCUUCUCACAGCAGCAGAAUGCAUAAAAUCAAGCUUCAAAUCAGGCCUUGAGAAGACUAAAGGAGUUUUAAAUGGACACCUGAAAUGUAAUCUGUGACCGAGGAAAACACGUAUUUGGAAAGUUAGUUAUCACACUGAUAUACAUGAAAGAGAGCCAGGACUGGAUGAAGCUGAACAUACAUGGAUUUACUACUUGCCGGGAGUUCCUCUCCUUCCCCGCGAGAUGGGGUUGUGUACCCAGCCAAACGGUGGGGUGCCAAGAGAAGCCAGAGGCUCCAAACGCCAAGGCCAACCCAGCAAUUACCUCUCAGGAGUCAGGGAGGAUUCUGAGAGACGUGCAACAGCUGCCAGGGGAUGGGUGGGGACAUCCCAGGAGAUGGCAGCUUGGUGGAAAGGGAAUAGCAACAAUAUUAACUCCACAGCUGCAAAUGGGUGCAGGGAUAUUAAGGAAGGGGGUGGAGGUAGAGAAGAAGUCCCUUUUGGGAGCCAGGGGUUGGCGGGCCACUAGAACUGCUCAGCCAGGGAAGAUGGAGCAGGUUGGAAGUGGGGGAGGAGUGUCUGAAAUGCAGGGCUCUUUUUAAGCCAGGGACUGAGAAGAUCAGAUGGGAUGGGCUUGUCAGUCUGACUGUCUCCCGGAGAGGAGCUCAGACCUUUUUGCUCCCGCUGAUAGGGGCAGAAGGGAGUGAAUGAACUUCCCUCCUUCCUCAGCUCUGAGGCCGUGCCCACUCCUAGAAUUUAGUGCUGGAGGGUAGAAGGUUUGCCUUGGAGAAUUGCUUCCCCCCAGGAACGCUGACACUACUAUGUAGUGAGGUCUUUCACGCAAUCUUGAGGCCGCUGCUGAGUGCGCUGCCUAGGAACUUGCCUGCCUUCCCCAGCAGGUGAGCACAAGCCACCCUCCUCUCUGCCAUGCCAUGUGACCAUGUGACCAUGAGUGGAAGCACAGUGUCUACAGAAGCUAGAGUGGGAGGACUUCCCCCUCCCACAUCCCAGGCUGCCCCAGGACACGAGCAUGGUGGCUGCUCUCGUUUGCACAGCUACCGUGGUUGGCGUGCCAGUCCUUCCCCCUGGCUUGCUUCCAGAAACAGCGGCUGAUUGGGGGGAAGCCAUUUAACUCGGCGACAAUCACCCAGACGAUCACUGGCUGAGGUUAAGCGAACCUCAGCUAACAGAGGGUUAAAAACUCAGGCUUAGCUCAGGGGCAGCGCUGGGAUCAGGCUUGAUCACACAUGUAGCCUAGUCCAGGCUGGGCUACCCUAGCCUGGGCUAGGCUGAGCUUGUGUACAGCUUCAGUAUUUUGAAUUUACAAACAGUAAAGAGAAGAUAUAUUUGAGCUGGAAAAUGCUAAUAGCAAAACCUUGCCUUUUUCCUCAUGUUCAAGGGAGAAGACAGGAGCUAACCAAUGGAGGAUACUGACCUGAUGUUUGGACCUGCAGGAGCUGUGGUACUUUCCAGAUCUAGAAUUCCAUCAUAUCCACAUAUGUCCAGAGAAUAACUGUCUCAGCAAGAGAGCUGUUGCCUAGUGCAUUUUUAAGAGGCAAGCUCAGAAGGCCUCAGGAUGAGAAGGUCACAUAAGAAAACUCAAGGCACAUUUUCAGUUUUGCAGUGGAAAUCUUUGUAAGGUGGGCCUUUAUGAUUUGCUUAGAGUCCUGAACAGUCAUAGGCCUAGCAAACUAGAACCUAGGUCUGCAUGUAUGUUGUGCUUGGUUUCCCUGCCAACCAACUUAAGUUUGUGUACUUUUUUCCAGUAAGUUGUAGACAAUAAAUAAUUAAGUUAUCAGAA